rnacentral:lncRNA from 1 species
UGUACGAUCCUCUCUCACCAGUACUCCCCCCCUCCACGCCUGCGAGGUUGUAUCUAUGCUUCCACGGAGGUUUGUCACGCGCUUUUGCCAACUAUUGUCCGGUUUGUCCUAGCCGAAGCCUACUCCUUGCACACAUCAGUUGGCGCCGUCUGUGAUUCAAAGAUACUCACGACAAAAGCUCCUCGACUUUUUCGAAAAAAGUGAUCGACUUUUUUCCAAGUCGCCAGCUAGGGAGUCUCUCGAGGAAAUCAGCCAGCAAGGGAUCGACAUUUCAGAAGAUCGACUUUUUCUUCCAAGGAAAAAAAGUCGAUCCCUCAAGGAGCUAGGCUUUCAGGCAUCAA